rnacentral:rRNA from 1 species
UACAGAGGUCCCAAGCGUUGUUCGGAUUCACUGGGCGUAAAGGGUGCGUAGGCGGUCGGGUAAGUCUGAUGUGAAAUCUCACAGCUUAACUGUGAAACUGCAUUGGAUACUAUUCGGCUUGAGAGUUGGAGGGGGGACUGGAAUUCUUGGUGUAGCAGUGAAAUGCGUAGAUAUCAGGAGGAACACCGAUGGCGAAGGCAGGUCUCUGGGCUGACACUGACGCUCAUGCACGAAAGCGUGGGGAGCAAACAGG